rnacentral:rRNA from 1 species
AUUCCAGCUCCAAUAGCGUAUAUUAAAGUUGUUGCAGUUAAAAAGCUCGUAGUUGGACUUCUGAUGUGGGACUGCGCCCCGGUAUUUUGCCGUUGGGUGCGGGCUCGCGUCUUCCUCUCGUAGUUGGAUGGUGCACUUAACUGGGUGCCUUCUGAAUAUGGGACCUUUACUUUGAAAAAAUUAGAGUGUUCAAAGCAGGCAAUCGCUUGAAUACAUUAGCAUGGAAUAAUAGAAUAGGACUUUGGUUCUAUUUUGUUGGUUUCUAGGACCGAAGUAAUGAUUAAUAGGGACAGUUGGGGGCAUUAGUAUUUAAUUGUCAGAGGUGAAAUUCUUGGAUUUAUGAAAGACUAACUACUGCGAAAGCAUUUGCCAAGGAUGUUUUCAUCA